AAAGCUUUACCGACCAAUUAUGUUGACUGGUGCGAUCCAGUGGUGAGCUGACAGUGACCCCAGCUAAGAGAACAAGAUUGUUCUCUAUGUGGAUGACUCUGUGCCAAAAGCGUGGAAACACCC
ensembl:snoRNA